CCUCCCAUCAGAUCAGCAGCGGUAUUAGAUUCUCAAAGAAGCGUAAGCCCUAUUGUGAACUGCACAUGCGAGGGAUACAGGUUGCGAGCUCCUUAUGAGAAUCUAAUGCCUAGAUGAUCUGUCACUGUCUCCCAUCACCCCCAGAUGGGGCCGUCCAGUUGUAGGAAAACAAGCUCAGGACUCCCACUGAUUCUACAUUAUGGUGAGUUGUGUAAUUAUUUCAUUACAUAUUACAGUGUAACAAUAAUAAAAAUUAAGUGCACAAUAAACAUAAUGUGCUUGAAUCAUCCCCAAACCAUCCUCCUCCCCGCCUCGGUCCGUGGAAAAAUUGUCUUCCACAAAACUGGUCCCUGGUACCAAAAAGGUUGGGGACUGCUGUCCUAGAUAACUUCUUUCCCUU
rnacentral:lncRNA from 1 species